rnacentral:lncRNA from 1 species
AGAAAAGCAUUUUAAGGUAAAGGUAACCUUCUGAUUUCAAUUGCCCGUUUGGAUCAACCAUCAGACCCAGUCAUGGAGAGGAGGCAGAAAAUGGAAUCUAGGAAAGAAUGAGCCAGGUCUUGUGGACCGAGCUGAAGCGUGAAUCUUCCUUGCCAGAAACACCCCAGCAACCAAUUACCCUGGACGUGACGCCGAGGCCCACCUAGUGGUCAGCCAUCUGCCUAGGCAGACAAUAAAGCUCAAUUUUUCUCCUUCUCC